rnacentral:rRNA from 1 species
UACAGAGGGUGCGAACGUUGCUCGGAAUUACUGGGCGUAAAGCGCAUGUAGGCGGAUCCAUAAGUCGGGCGUGAAAUCCCCAGGCUCAACCUGGGAACUGCGCUCGAAACUGUGGGUCUUGAGUGUCGGAGAGGAUGGCGGAAUUCCUGGUGUAGAGGUGAAAUGCGUAGAUAUCUGGAGGAAUACCGGUGGCGAAGGCGGCAUCCUGGACCGAUAUUGACACUGAUGAGCGAAAGCCAGGGGAGCAAACGGG